UAAUCUGUAUCUGUUCAGUCCGAGGGCGGAUCUGUUUCAUACCUUUCUCACCUUUUCUUCAGACACACCUGUUUUCCACACGGCUUUUACAGACUGAACCACGAAGUGUGAGCUGCUGUAAGUGACUGUGUGAGUUUAUUUUUCAGUAAAAUGGCAGAAGCGAAUAUUUUAGGACUUCAGGAUCAGUUCAGCUGUCCAAUCUGUCUGGAUCUAAUCAAGGAUCCAGUAGCUAUUUCAUGUGGACACACUUUCUGUAUGGUGUGUAUUAAUGGCUGCUGGGAUCAGGAGGAUCAGAAGGGAGUCUAUAGCUGUCCUCAGUGUAGACAAACCUUCACUCCAAGACCUGUUGUGAGUAAAAACACUGUUCUGGCUGAAGUAGUGGAGACACUGAAGAAGACGGGACUCCAAGCUACACGUCCUGCUCACUGUUCAGCUGGACCUGAAGAUGUGGAGUGUGAUUCCUGCACUGGGAGAAAAUCCAAAGCCAUCAAGUCCUGUCUGGUGUGUCUGGCCUCUUUCUGUGAAACUCACCUCCAGCCUCACUAUGAAUCUCCUGCCUUUAAGAAGCACAAGCUGGUGGAAGCCUCCAGACGACUCCAGGAGCAGAUCUGCUCUCAGCAUGACAAACUGCUGGAGGUUUACUGUCGCACUGAUCAGCAGUGUAUCUGCAUGUUGUGUACCAUGGAUGAACAUAAAGGACAUGAUACAGUAUCAGCUGCAGCAGGACGAGCUGAGAAACAGAAGCAGUUGUUGGAGAUGCAGGGAAACUCCAAGCAGAGAAUCCAGGAGAGAGAGAAGCAGCUUCAGGAACUCAUAAAAGCUAUGGAGACUCACAAGCUCUCUGCACAAGCAGCAGUGCAGGAAACCGAGAGGAUCUUUACGGAGCUGAUCAAAUCUAUUGAGAGAAGAUGCUCUGAACUGACAGCGCUGAUCAGAGCUCAGGAGGAAGCUGCAGUGAGUCGAGCUGAAGAAGUCAUGAAGCAACUGGAGCAGGAGAUCGCAGAGCUGAAGAGGAGAGAUGCUGAAAUGGAGGAGCUUUCACACACAGAGGAUCCUGUCCAGUUCCUCCAGAGUUUUCAGUCUGUCGCAACCCCAACUGGAUCUUCAAACUUGCCCACCAUCAUGUUCAGCUCUACUCUAACUUUUGAGGUUGUAAUAACAUCUGUGUCUCAGCUGAGAGAGAAUGUUGAAGAGUGCUGUAACGCUGAGUUUGUGAAGAUUCCAAGUGGAGUGAGGGAUGUCCAGAUCUUAUCACCUCCUCGUAUCACUAUGCAGAAGCUAUAUAUUAAGAUCCCUCCCCAUGAACCUCCUACUCCUGAAGCCCAAAAGACAGAUUCCCAGUGUUAGCAUCUCUCUCUACAGGAAUAAAAAUACUUCAGGAAGUGCUCUUAUUGUAAACCGUAUGGUUAUGGAACGCCGAAAGCAAGAUUUUCAAUGACUCGGCAAAUGUGAGAAACCUGCAGAUCACCAACUAGUGAUACUCUGUGAUACUCUACAGAACUCCUCAGUCUGCAAUCUCUCUCUCUCUCUCUCUCUCUCUCUCUCUCUCUCUCUCUGUCAUUUAAACACAAUUUCUCUUCUCACAUGUGCAGUGUGAAAUAAUCAGUGUAAUCGUUAUUGGAAUGAAUAAUAAUUUAAGGAUGUUUAUCUGGGAUUUGUUGAUAUAUAUUGAUGAAAUACUUACAAAUGUAUUAGUGCUUUGCUUUUGGUGUCUCUUACACAAAAUAUAUUCAUGUAGUUUUAGUAGUUUUCCAUUUUUUCAGACAGAACAAUUAAAGAACUUUAAGUAUGUGUUUGACUAGAAAGUUUGACUUGUUAAACGCUCUAGCUCCUCAGCCAUAUGUAUGGAAAUCUAUAUUCAGAUUUGACAUUAUACUUCAAAAAUUCAUUUUACAAUGUUUUGCUAGUAUGUAACAUUAAAAAACAACUUAGCAACUGUUGAUAUUAAUAUGACUUCGGUUUUUUCAUUACUUUAUUAAAACCAUUAUUGUCUAGUACUUGCAUUUACAAAUAAACAAUUUUAAUUCUUAACAUCUGCGUUAUGGAAACUGCAUCCUAUGCUUUCACUUUAUUUAAAGCCAUCAAUGAUGCAUUUAUAGAGGUUAUUAUUUGUAUUAUAACUCACAAUAAGUAUUUAUAAUGCAGCACAACACAUCUAUCAACAAUAUAAAAUAAUUCACUUAUUGGACAUAGAAAUGAAUAUGUAUUACUAAUAAGUCAUUAUAGCUACAAUAUAAUAACAUCAUAAAAAUGCAGGCUGUAUUUUUAUGAAUACAUUAAUGGAACCAUAAGACUAAUUAAUACUUAUAAAUUGGUGUAUAAUGCAUUAUGAGCAUGGGCACUGAAAAAGCAAGUUUAUCACUUAUAAGUAAUUAUACCAAUAAUAUAAAUGUAGCAAUAACUUAUUAUAAAUUAUUGAAGUGUAGGUCUUGAUAAAUGUGUUUAAAGAGCAGUAAUUCUUGCUUAUAAAUAUAUAAGUGUCACGUAACGAGACUGGAGGCGGAUGCAGGUCACAGUCUUUAUUAAUUCGCAGAUAAACAAAAACACAGGGAGCGCGGUCUCUACUGAUUAUGCAAACUCUGGUCCUCUAGCUACGACCGCUAGCAUGCUACACAUUAGCACAUACCGUUAUCCUUCCUCUACUUGACAAACGUGAACCAAAUAUAAUACUGCGCGAUGUGCGCAGUAACACGGGGGGGUUAAAUAACAAACCUAAUUAAACCAAAAGAUAAACACCUGAGGCAAAUCAGAGACUUAAUCAGACUUAAUGUCCGAGCGGGAAGUGAAAGAAAACAGAAGAGUCACGUGACCAGUCAGCGGCCGUACCGCAGUGCCCUCUGCUGGCCGUGGCGUAACAAUAAGUAAUAAUUCAUUAAAAGCAUGGGCUUCAUAGAAAUCGUUACCGAACUUUCUAUCGGUGGUGUUCUUCUGUUGAUGAAAGGUGUAGUAAUUUUCAUAUUAGGAAAAGUGUCAUAGUGGAUCAGAGAUGUUUCCUUAAAGCAAAAGUCAAAUGGAAUUUUAUGUCCUGUGCUUUCUGUAGACCGUCUUUAAGCAUAUAUUUUACUCCUCAAAAUGUAAAAGAUGAUCUUGUAAUAAUUGUCCUGAGAAAUGUAAAAGAGUUGUUACACACAACGUUUUCUCUGCGUUAUUCUGAUGCAUAAGUUUUUAUUAAUACAUUUCCAGGUUUAAAAUAAGGUUUCUUUGCAUAAAAUUUUGAAAUAUAAUAUUUUCAAAGCCCUAAUUGAAUGACACAAAUAACUGUGUUGCGAUAGAAUCUGAAAUCAGUAGUGCUGUACAAUUAUUUUGUAUUCAUUUAAAUAUUCUGAAGUUUUACAAAAAAAUAUCCUUUUGAGAUUGUUAAUUUGUAUAACUUUGUUUGUUUGUUUGUUUGUUUGGUUUAAAAAAAUAUUUUUAAUUGCUUAAAAAGGUUGCUUUUUAAAGCCACAAACUGUCUCCUUACUCUCUUCUCAAGAUUCCCUAAAGUGUUUCUUCCUCACGUCGUCUCUGGAUUUGUGUCACCGAGUCACUUAGACUUGAUACUCUGUCAACUUUGUUUAAAUUGUAAUAGUGAAAAUGUAUAACUUUAACAUCUAGUGUUUGCAGUUUUCUGUACCUAUAGAGCUGAAAAUGUUUUUUUUGUUGUUGUUGUUGUUGUUUUUUUUUUGUUUGUUUGUUUUAAAAUCAGUUGCCAAACUGUGUCCUCAAGAAUUUUGUGGUCAAUCCUGCUAAAUUGUGAUAUAAUGUCUAAUAAUGCAUUUUAGGUGGUGGUGGUCAUAGUGGGAAAGUCUUAUUAUUUGCCUGGGUGGUAUUGGUGGUCAAUCUAAUGUUUUUUUGUUUUUUUUAAUUUAUAGAUAGAUUAUCCUUUCUGAAUGAUCCUUUCUUCUGUUUUGAUUAUUUGAUCAAGUUGUGCUUAAUUCUGUGUGGUGGAAGAAUUAAAAAAAACAUAAGUCCAUUGUAA